rnacentral:rRNA from 1 species
UACAGAGGGUGCGAGCGUUAAUCGGAAUUACUGGGCGUAAAGCGUGCGUAGACGGUUACGUAAGUCGGGUGUGAAAGCCCCGGGCUCAACCUGGGAAUUGCAUUCGAGACUGAAUAGCUAGGGUACGGUAGAGGGAAGCGGAAUUUCCGGUGUAGCGGUGAAAUGCGUAGAUAUCGGAAGGAACAUCAGUGGCGAAAGCGGCUUCCUGGACCAGUACCGACGUUCAGGCACGAAAGCGUGGGGAGCAAACAGG